rnacentral:lncRNA from 1 species
AUGAGUGGAGAAGGAGAUCAAAGCCCAAAUGGAGCAGGGGCCCGGCCGUUGGGAGAAGAGACGUUGCAAGCCGUAGCUUCCUCUACGGGGUACCCCAGGCCGAACGGCGUGACUCAGAGGAUUCCCAGAGCAGGAAGAGGCGUCUCUGCGGCUGCAGAAACCAGUUGGGGAUCUGGAGGAAGCAUGCCAGAGACCGUAGCCCUGCGGUUAUCCAUCCUGGAAACUAAUUUAUCCAGGCUGUCGGAAACCGUGGGGAGGUUGGUCCCACUAUUGGAAGAGAAUCUCCAAAAAGAGCCCAUCCGAUAUGGCGCCGAGAGAGAGCCAAGUAAAGAAGGAGAUUGGAGCCAGAGGGGCCAGCGCGCAUCAACGCAGAGUCCCGUGGCGGCGAGGGACGAGGGAGAUGAGGAAUACUGGCGGGAGCUGGAGUUCCGAGACAGAAUGGCCCGCGAAAUGGAGCGCCAGCGAGCUCUGGGAACUCUGAGGCCGCCAACUCCAACAGAACUUCCAACCCCCCGAAUGGGUGUCGGGGUGGAAAGGCCACUGGGGCCAGGGAUCGGGUCCAGUGGAUUAGCAGACGAAGGCGGAGAGGAGCCGGAGAUCCAGGAAGAGGAGGAGGAUGUGCCGUACGACGAGGAAAGGCGAGGUGCGGGGACUACAGCGAGGCCCGCAUUCGGAUGGGUGGAAGGGCCGACAGCAGCGGCAGAAUGUCGGGAGCCGCGCAGAACGACUACCGGAGUGGGGCGCGGCGUGUUCAAAGGGGCCGCCCAAGGAAACCCGAUGCAACCCUUCCCCAUGCCCCCCAGACAGCAUCAACGGGCCGCAGAGUGGAUGCAAAGGAGGGAAGAUCUCAAACUAGAAUACGGAGGGGAAUCAUCUGAAUUGAACUUUUUUCUCAUUAGCAUCAGAGGAUACAUGGAAGAUAAUGCACACACAUUCCCCUCCGAAGCAAGCAUGGUUCGAGCCAUCGGCAACACACUAAAGAGAGGAGCUGCCAGCUGGUAUGUACAACUACAUGCCAGACGCGACCCAUGCCUGAGGUCAGUGCCCCGCUUACUCGCCGCACUAGAAAACCGGUUCAGAGACCGGCUAGAGCAACUGAGGCUCGAGACCAGCUUAAAGGAAUAA